GAAAUGCGAUACUUAAUGGAAAUUGCAUACGUGAGUCAUCGAGUUUUUGAACGCACAUUGCGCCGCGCAGCGGCACGUGGGAGUGAGCGUCAAUCGUAAGAUUGUGACUUCAAUCGAUUCACUAAAUACAUGGCAGGCACAUUGAAUGGUGCUGAAGCAAAAAUUUUGACCUCAUUCUCACGGGGACACCCGCUGAACUUAA
rnacentral:misc_RNA from 1 species